CCCGUUUUCUCUGCCUUUUGGCUGAGAUCAAGUGUAGUAUCUGUUCUUAUCAGUUUAAUAUCUGAUACGUCCCCCAUCGGGGGACUACAUAUUAAAUGGAUUUUUCGAACAGGGAGUCGGAAAUGGGGCUUGCUCCGUCCGCUCCACGCAUCGACCCGGUAUUGCAGUACCUCCGGGAACGGUGCAACACUU
rfam:Salmo salar isolate Sally breed double haploid chromosome ssa03, whole genome shotgun sequence.